rnacentral:rRNA from 1 species
UACAGAGGGUGCGAGCGUUAUUCGGAAUUACUGGGCGUAAAGCGCCCGUAGUCGGCUUUGCAAGUCGGGUGUGAAAUCCCCGGGCUCAACCUGGGAACUGCAUCCGAGACUGCAUUGCUAGAGUAUGGGAGAGGGAAGCGGAAUUUCUGGUGUAGCAGUGAAAUGCGUAGAUAUCAGAAGGAACAUCAGUGGCGAAGGCGGCUUCCUGGACCAAUACUGACGAUCAGGUGCGAAAGCGUGGGGAGCAAACAGG